rnacentral:rRNA from 1 species
AGGACGAACGCUGGCGGCGCGCCUAACACAUGCAAGUCGAGCGAUAACCAGGGCUUGCCCUGGGGACAGCGGCGAACGGGUGCGUAACACGUGAGCAACCUGCCCCAAAGACCGGGACAACCCGAGGAAACUCGGACUAAUACCGGAUGCCCUCACCGGGUCGCAUGGUCUGGUGAGGAAAUGGAUUCCGCUUUGGGAUGGGCUCGCGGUCUAUCAGCUUGUUGGUGGGGUAACGGCCUACCAAGGCGACGACGGAUAGCUGGUCUGAGAGGACGAUCAGCCACACUGGGACUGAGACACGGCCCAGACUCCUACGGGAGGCAGCAGUGGGGAAUCUUGCGCAAUGGGGAAACCCUGACGCAGCGACGCCGCGUGCGGGAUGAAGGCCUUCGGGUUGUAAACCGCUUUCAGCAGGGACGAAAUUGACGGUACCUGCAGAAGAAGGCCCGGCAACUACGUGCCAGCAGCCGC